UGAGAGAGGAAAGUGGAAGGUGCUCU
rnacentral:piRNA from 1 species